rnacentral:rRNA from 1 species
AUGACAUCUCCUGUGCUGGUUGAGUUCGACAUGAGGAUCAAGAUUGGAGAAAGAGAAGAAGAUGACCUACAGCUCAUUGACGGGGCCGUCAGCUUCAGCGACAUGGACCCGCCGAUCAACAUGGCCUUCACGCGACGGCUCUGUGGUGAGGGCGGGGCGGUGGACAUAAAUCUAGCACAUAUGUAUGAAGCAGCAGAGGCCACAAUACAGGUUCGGAUAUCAGAAGCAUGCGGCAGUGGCUUGAGCUUGCGUCUGACAGCUUCUGGCAGCGCGUUACAACAGCAGGCCCGUCUCUUCGAUGGCAUUGUGGGCGAGACACCAUGUGACCUAGGCAAGUUUGUGUUCGCUGUGAUGAGCCUCACCAAAUUGGUUGUAUUAUUGAAGGUUGGCCGCGGCGGUGGCUCGGAUUGUGUUUAUCGUUUUCAUCUCUUUGAUGUUCAGAAGCAUGGAGAUUCGAUUGUGAGUUUCGAGAUUCCCGACAUGGUCACUAUAGAGGUGAAGGUGACUUGGUCAACUUUGGACAUCCCUGACAGUGCACUAGAAGAAGACAAUCGCUACAACUGGAGGAAGGAGCUUAGAAGUGGUAAUGACGACGACGACUAUGAGUAUGAUUGGAAUGAUUAUUAG